CCUACGGGGGGCAGCAGUAGGGAAUUUUCGGCAAUGGACGAAAGUCUGACCGAGCAACGCCGCGUGAGUGAAGAAGGUUUUCGGAACGUAAAACUCUGUUGGUAGAGAAGAACGUUGGUGAGAGUGGAAAGCUCAUCAAGUGACGGUAACUACCCAGAAAGGGACGGCUAACUACGUGCCAGCAGCCACGGUAAUACGUAGGUCCCGAGCGUUGUCCGGAUUUAUUGGGCGAAAAGCGUGCGCAGGUGGUUUACUAAGUCUGGUGUAAAAGGCAGUGUGUCAACCAGUGUAUGCAUUUGAAACUGGCAGACUUGAGUGCAGGAGAGGAGAGUGGAAUUCCAUGUGUAGCGGUGAAAUGCGUAGAUAUAUGGAGGAACACCAGUGGCGAAAGCGGCUCUCUGGCCUGUAACUGACACUGAGGCUCGAAAGCGUGGGGAGCAAACAGGAUUAGAUACCCUGGUAGUC
rnacentral:rRNA from 1 species